CUUUGUGCGUUUUUGUCUGUCUUUGUUGGUGUGUGUGUGUGUUUAUGUCUGAAAGCUUAGAUUAUACUUAAAACCUACACAGUGAUCUUAUUUGAUCCGACCCGAGUUGGGCUCUGCUCCGGUCGGAAAUGAUAGGAAAAGCGCCCUGCAGCCUCCGUGGCGGUGAGCAGCCGGCGACAAACAACCCACGCAGGGCCUCCACGCUUCGUGCUGUGGUCAGAAGUGAUGAAUUGAUCAGAUAUACUAGUCCUGGUUGAGCCCGAGCUUUGCUUCAAGGUUCACGGUGGACAAUGAGUAUAGAGGCGAUUCUGAUCUAA